rnacentral:tRNA from 1 species
GCGAAGGUGGCGGAAUUGGUAGACGCGCUAGCUUCAGGUGUUAGUGUCCUUACGGACGUGGGGGGUUCAAGUCCCCCCCCCCCUCGCACCA